AAAAGUAGGGUUUCAAAAAUUAUGGUUCCAAGCUCUCUUAACUUUAAGAAGCUUUCUCUUUAGCAGAGUCAUGUUCAAAACUGAUUCAACAUUGUGUUUCCUAGUUCCAAGCUUUGAGUUUUCACACCACAUCACCACCAUAACCACCUAUCUCACCUUAUCCUCCAUGCUCGAUUCCUCCAGCCACCAUGGAUAGGAUAGAUUCGUUGAGGGAUCCUCGUCAGAUCUCGUGAAUGUUUUGGUCUUCGAGUUGGAGAAGCUGUUUUUAGUGAUGGGUCUGGUAGUAGUGUUAGGUAUAUAUAUAUAUAUAUAUAUAUGAAACUUCUCAUGUGUAAUGUUUUUAGUGGAUCCUUAAAAAAGAAAAAUAUGUUAAAAAACAAAUCUGAACACGUAGUAUUUAUUUAUUAUAUACUAAACACAACGCAACAGUCAUGAGACAAAUGUAAAAUAACAGGGUUUUCAAAGAUUAGGGUUUCAGGCUUUCUUCA